GACGAACGCUGGCGGCGUGCUUAACACAUGCAAGUCACGGGGGCCCGCAAGGGUAACCGGCGAACGGGUGCGUAACACGUGAGCAAUCUGCCGUACACUGGGGGAUAGCCGGCCCAACGGCCGGGUAAUACCGCAUACGUUCUUCGCGUGGCAUCACGUGGAGAAGAAACCUCCGGGGGUGUACGAGGAGCUCGCGGCCUAUCAGGUAGUUGGUGGGGUCACGGCCUACCAAGCCAUUGACGGGUAGCUGGUCUGAGAGGAUGGCCAGCCACAUUGGGACUGAGAUACGGCCCAGACUCCUACGGGAGGCAGCAGUGGGGAAUAUUGCGCAAUGGCCGCAAGGCUGACGCAGCGACGCCGCGUGGGGGAUGAAGCAUUUCGGUGUGUAAACCCUGUUGCUCGGGACGAACAACGAGUUUCGACUCGUCUGACGGUACCGGGUGAGGAAGCACCGGCUAACUCCGUG
rnacentral:rRNA from 1 species